AUUGAACGCUGGCGGCAUGCUUUACACAUGCAAGUCGAACGGCAGCGCGGGCUUCGGCCUGGCCGCGAGUGGCGAACGGGUGUGUAAUGCAUCGGAACGUGCCCAGUAGUGGGGGAUCGCCCGGCGAAAGCCGCAUUAAUACCGCAUACGACCUGAGGGUGAAAGCGGGGGACCGAAAGGCCUCGCGCUAUUGGAGCGGCCGAUGUCGGAGUAGCUAGUUGGUGGGGUAAAGGCUUACCAAGCCGACGAUCCGUAGCUGGUCUGAGAGGACGACCAGCCACAGUGGGAAUGAGACACGGCCCAGACUCCUACGGGAGGCAGCAGUGGGGAAUUUUGGACAAGGGGCGCAAGCCUGAUCCAGCAAUGCCGCGUGCAGGAAGAAGGCCUUCGGGUUGGAAACUGCUUUUGUACGGAACGAAACGGCUCUGGUUAAUACCCGGGGCUAAUGACGGUACCGUAAGAAUAAGCACCGGCUAACUACGUG
rnacentral:rRNA from 1 species